AAUUGUAACAGUAUGUAUAAUCAUAUAAACAUUUACUAUAAAGAUUGCAACUGAUAUAUGCAGAAAUACACUGUAAAUACAUACAUGUAUCUGUUAUAAGUAUGAAACAACGCGUCCGUAGUAGACGCAGUAUAAUGCAUACUUCAAUAACUAAAACUCUCAUAUAAAAUAUAGAAAAUGAUAAUUGACUUCAACAGACCGCGCUAUUCUCAACCACAAUCUAAUUAAAUCUUAGGGUUGAGAAGGAACUGUACUAAAGAAGUAUAUGCAUAAAUCUAAUGAAUAUAUA
rnacentral:lncRNA from 1 species